CAAGAUAUUCCAUGAGUGGAGGGAGAGGAUAUGCUAAGCAGGCCUUCUGUGAAUGGUCGUCUAAUGAUGAAUGAGUGAAUGAGCCUCCUGACAAGGUGAGGAAGACAGCACUGCCAACUGGACAAUGGAGCAUUUCUCCCACCGGAAGCUUAGCAGUGAGACCAGGAGAGCGAGUGGAAAAGAUGAUCCACUGACUAUCAAGUGCAGAGGACUGGCGAGUUUAUUGGGAGAGUUAAAGAGCAGAUCCCGGACGUACCCUAUGAAACUACAGGAGAGAGAUUGUUUAUUUGCAAACUGCCUGAGAGCGACUUUGGGCAGCAUGAAGACAAGACCCUCUUUCAGCAGAUGUUUGUGGAGCUCUCUGUGAAGGCCUGUACUUGGGCUCUCAAGGAGGCAGGGGAAGGUCAGCUGAGAAUAUGGGAAAGUGGAGGAGGAGAAGGAUGCCAGGGUUAGGACUACAAGAGGACAACAACCAAAAGGUUUGGAAAUUAGCAUGAGAUCAGGUGUCUAAUGCAUAAAAGAAAUCAUCUCCUGUAGGACACAAACCACAGUGAGGCAGGGGCUCAGUAUUUUCUCUGGUUGGACCCUGUAAUGGAAGGUCACAACUGAAACACCCCAAUGUUAAUAGCCUCGUGACACUGACUGCCUCUACGAGUCAGCACUUUCUAAGGAAAUUGACUUUGAUUUGUCUCACUCCACCUCACAGCUGUGGAAGCAAUGAGGAUUUACAUACCUUUCCCAUGCUGAUCUGGUAUUCCAUCAUGGUUGUCUGAUCCCAGAGCCUGAGCUCUUACCCACUGUACUAUACUCUUCCUGAGACACUUAAUACUUUGACCAAAGGCCAUUUUUUCUCAGGGCCCUUUAUAAACACAAGCCUGAGAUCUAUAGGUGUG
ensembl:lncRNA LOC102553338 uncharacterized LOC102553338